CACGAUCAUAGAAACCUGUGAAAAUGUAUCAAUACCAAGAAAAUGCAUUUGACAGUGUAUGGCGUGAAAGUGAAAUUUUGGAUACAAUUUCUGGAAAAUGGCAAGGCGGUGAGACGCAGCAGCAUGCAGCGUUAUUAGUGGGGACGAUGGGAGUUCCAGCGUUACUCAUUAUAGCGGUGACGCAGCGGCAUGCAGCGUUAUUGGUGAGGAAAAUGGGUGUGGCAACGGUACUCAUUAAGCGGUGGCAUUGGUCUCGGGAAAUUGAUUACUGGGCAGCGCCACCUAUGCGUCACCAUGUGUGGAGAAACUCGGCGGCAGGCGGUGCUAAACAGGCUGCUGUAGGCGAUAGAGCUGUUCGUAAGACGAUGAACCGGAGAUGCAGGACUGCUACCGCAGGUAGGCCGCCGGUCUGACCAGUGCUGCCCGCUCCAUGGCCACCACUUCCAUGACGGCAAAUGACGCCACAAGGCCUGCGAACAUCCAUUAUCUGUGUGCAAAUUCAUCAAUCGCCUCCUGUCACAAUUUAGAGGGGUCCCGCCUUUCUACCCUUCCUGCGGCGCCUCGAGCCGUGCUCCCCACAUACUUUUACUAACUUGUUCAGGAUUAGGGAGCAUGGUGGGUCCAUGGCUGCCGGCAAAAAAGUGGGGCCAUUGGAUGCGAGAGCCAUAGGGUAUCUUCAGCAGAGGCAGUUCGAGAGUUCAAUAAUGAAAUAAGGUCUGGUUCGAGUAGCAACACUAGAAUUUCACCAGCAGUUGGCUGUUCCGGUGCUGGUUAUCAUGAUCGUACCACUGCGUUCCUCUGGGCAAAUCGCGUCGCCAAAGCCUCUGACAAAAGCGCCCUUCCAGACGAAUCGCUUGUCACCAUACGAACAUUUAGGCCAUCGUCGGAAUAGAAUGUAAAUUGCUGCAU